rnacentral:rRNA from 1 species
AUGCAGUCGAGCGGUAACAGAAAGUAGCUUGCUACUUUGCUGACGAGCGGCGGACGGGUGAGUAAUGCUUGGGAACAUGCCUUGAGGUGGGGGACAACAGUUGGAAACGACUGCUAAUACCGCAUAAUGUCUACGGACCAAAGGGGGCUUCGGCUCUCGCCUUUAGAUUGGCCCAAGUGGGAUUAGCUAGUUGGUGAGGUAAUGGCUCACCAAGGCGACGAUCCCUAGCUGGUUUGAGAGGAUGAUCAGCCACACUGGGACUGAGACACGGCCCAGACUCCUACGGGAGGCAGCAGUGGGGAAUAUUGCACAAUGGGCGCAAGCCUGAUGCAGCCAUGCCGCGUGUGUGAAGAAGGCCUUCGGGUUGUAAAGCACUUUCAGUCAGGAGGAAAGGGUGGUGGUUAAUACCCAUCAUGUGUGACGUUACUGACAGAAGAAGCACCGGCUAACUCCGUGCCAGCAGCCGCGGUAAUACGGAGGGUGCGAGCGUUAAUCGGAAUUACUGGGCGUAAAGCGUACGCAGGCGGUUUGUUAAGCGAGAUGUGAAAGCCCCGGGCUCAACCUGGGAACUGCAUUUCGAACUGGCAAACUAGAGUGUGAUAGAGGGUGGUAGAAUUUCAGGUGUAGCGGUGAAAUGCGUAGAGAUCUGAAGGAAUACCGAUGGCGAAGGCAGCCACCUGGGUCAACACUGACGCUCAUGUACGAAAGCGUGGGGAGCAAACGGGAUUAGAUACCCCGGUAGUCCACGCCGUAAACGAUGUCUACUAAAGCUCGGAGCCUCGGUUCUGUUUUUCAAANCUAACGCAUUAAGUAGACCGCCUGGGGAGUACGCCGCAAGGUUAAAACUCAAAUGAAUUGACGGGGCCCGC